AAAUUGAAGAGUUUGAUCAUGGCUCAGAUUGAACGCUGGCGGCAGGCCUAACACAUGCAAGUCGAACGGUAGCACAGAGAGCUUGCUCUCGGGUGACGAGUGGCGGACGGGUGAGUAAUGUCUGGGAAACUGCCCGAUGGAGGGGGAUAACUACUGGAAACGGUAGCUAAUACCGCAUAACGUCGCAAGACCAAAGUGGGGGACCUUCGGGCCUCACACCAUCGGAUGUGCCCAGAUGGGAUUAGCUAGUAGGUGGGGUAACGGCUCACCUAGGCGACGAUCCCUAGCUGGUCUGAGAGGAUGACCAGCCACACUGGAACUGAGACACGGUCCAGACUCCUACGGGAGGCAGCAGUGGGGAAUAUUGCACAAUGGGCGCAAGCCUGAUGCAGCCAUGCCGCGUGUAUGAAGAAGGCCUUCGGGUUGUAAAGUACUUUCAGCGAGGAGGAAGGCGUUGUGGUUAAUAACCACAGCGAUUGACGUUACUCGCAGAAGAAGCACCGGCUAACUCCGUGCCAGCAGCCGCGGUAAUACGGAGGGUGCAAGCGUUAAUCGGAAUUACUGGGCGUAAAGCGCACGCAGGCGGUUUGUUAAGUCAGAUGUGAAAUCCCCGGGCUCAACCUGGGAACUGCAUUUGAAACUGGCAAGCUUGAGUCUCGUAGAGGGGGGUAGAAUUCCAGGUGUAGCGGUGAAAUGCGUAGAGAUCUGGAGGAAUACCGGUGGCGAAGGCGGCCCCCUGGACAAAGACUGACGCUCAGGUGCGAAAGCGUGGGGAGCAAACAGGAUUAGAUACCCUGGUAGUCCACGCCGUAAACGAUGUCUACUUGGAGGUUGUGCCCUUGAGGCGUGGCUUCCGGAGCUAACGCGUUAAGUAGACCGCCUGGGGAGUACGGCCGCAAGGUUAAAACUCAAAUGAAUUGACGGGGGCCCGCACAAGCGGUGGAGCAUGUGGUUUAAUUCGAUGCAACGCGAAGAACCUUACCUGGUCUUGACAUCCACGGAAGUUUUCAGAGAUGAGAAUGUGCCUUCGGGAACCGUGAGACAGGUGCUGCAUGGCUGUCGUCAGCUCGUGUUGUGAAAUGUUGGGUUAAGUCCCGCAACGA
rnacentral:rRNA from 2 species